UGGGGAAUUUUGCACAAUGGAGGAAACUCUGAUGCAGCGACGCCGCGUGAGUGAUGAAGAUCUUCGGAUUGUAAAACUCUGUCCUUAGUGAAGAUAAUGACAGUAACUAAGAAGCAAGCCCUGGCUAAAUACGUGCCAGCAGCCGCGGUAAUACGUAUGGGGCAAGCGUUGUCCGGAAUUAUUGGGCGUAAAGGGUACGUAGGCGGUUUAAUAAGUCCUAAUUAAAAGGCUAUGGCUCAACCAUAGUAUGGUUAGGAAACUGUUGAACUUGAGUAGAUGAGGGGAAAGUGGAAUUCCAUGUGUAGCGGUGAAAUGCGUAGAUAUAUGGAGGAACACCAGUGGCGAAGGCAACUUUCUGGAAUCAAACUGACGCUGAGGUACGAAGGCGUGGGGAGCAAACAGG
rnacentral:rRNA from 1 species